rnacentral:lncRNA from 1 species
CUGCACGCUCGGAAGAGCAGGUUCCUCAACCCAGGCCCCGGCCCCUCCCGCUACGCUCGCCCCUCCCGGCGCCCCGCAGGGCUGGCUGCGAGGGAGGGGGCGUUGGGUGCCUGGCCGAGGCGCCCUACCCCGUCCGUUUUGCCCAGCUUUCUGCCUGGGGCGCACGGAGCAAUCGGGAGAGGGGACCCAGCGUCCGCCCCAGGACUCCCCCAGCCAGUGCCCUCCCUGGGACCUUGCCCAAAUUUAAAGCAGAGGCCAGUGAGCAGGCGGCAACCGGCUCCCGCCUUCUGUGCCACAGCCCUGCGGGACCUGCGCUCGCCCCUGUUGCCCUCGCCCCCUGGGCCGGCCUCCCGUGACGAAAAUACGAGUUCUCCGAUCGCGUUGGACCGGAGCGGGCCAGGUCCGAGCUGCUUGCAGAGGGAAACCAUCGGAAAUAAUGAAUAGCCGCUCCAUGCAAAUUAUUCAGACAGUUUAGCGUCGGUAGCCGCGAGAAAUAUAUAAAGAACACGAGUCAAAUGACAUU